rnacentral:rRNA from 1 species
AUCCUGGCUCAGGACGAACGCUGGCGGCGUGCUUAACACAUGCAAGUCGAACGGUAAGGCCCUUUCGGGGGUACACGAGUGGCGAACGGGUGAGUAACACGUGAGUAACCUGCCCUUGACUCUGGGAUAACAGCCGGAAACGGUUGCUAAUACCGGAUAUUCAGCUUCUGCCGCAUGGUGGUUGUUGGAAAGCUUUUGUGGUCAAGGAUGGGCUCGCGGUCUAUCAGCUUGUUGGUGGGGUAGUGGCUCACCAAGGCUUCGACGGGUAGCCGGCCUGAGAGGGUGACCGGCCACAUUGGGACUGAGAUACGGCCCAAACUCCUACGGGAGGCAGCAGUGGGGAAUAUUGCACAAUGGACGGAAGUCUGAUGCAGCAACGCCGCGUGCGGGAUGACGGCCUUCGGGUUGUAAACCGCUUUCAUCCAUGACGAAGCGAGAGUGACGGUAGUGGGAGAAGAAGCACCGGCUAACUACGUGCCAGCAGCCGCGGUGAUACGUAGGGUGCGAGCGUUGUCCGGAUUUAUUGGGCGUAAAGAGCUUGUAGGCGGUUUGUUGCGUCGGAAGUGAAAACUCAGGGCUUAACUCUGAGCCUGCUUUCGAUACGGGCAGACUUGAGGAAGGUAGGGGAGAAUGGAAUUCCUGGUGAAGCGGUGGAAUGCGUAGAUAUCAGGAGGAACACCGGUGGCGAAGGCGGUUCUCUGGACCUUUCCUGACGCUGAGAAGCGAAAGCGUGGGGAGCAAACAGGCUUAGAUACCCUGGUAGUCCACGCCGUAAACGGUGGGUACUAGGUGUGGGGGACAUUCCACGUUCUCCGUGCCGUAGCUAACGCAUUAAGUACCCCGCCUGGGGAGUACGGCCGCAAGGCUAAAACUCAAAGGAAUUGACGGGGGCC